rnacentral:rRNA from 1 species
AACGAACGCUGGCGGCAUGCCUAACACAUGCAAGUCGAACGAGACCUUCGGGUCUAGUGGCGCACGGGUGCGUAACGCGUGGGAACCUGCCCUUAGGUUCGGAAUAACUCCCCGAAAGGGGUGCUAAUACCGGAUAAUGUCUUCGGACCAAAGAUUUAUCGCCUUUGGAUGGGCCCGCGUUGGAUUAGCUAGUUGGUAGGGUAAAAGCCUACCAAGGCGACGAUCCAUAGCUGGUCUGAGAGGAUGAUCAGCCACACUGGGACUGAGACACGGCCCAGACUCCUACGGGAGGCAGCAGUGGGGAAUAUUGGACAAUGGGCGAAAGCCUGAUCCAGCAAUGCCGCGUGAGUGAUGAAGGCCUUAGGGUUGUAAAGCUCUUUUACCCGGGAUGAUAAUGACAGUACCGGGAGAAUAAUCUCCGGCUAACUCCGUG